AGGACAAGAAAAUAUGAUGAUUUGUGACCACAAAGGCUAGGAGAAGACACCACAAAGGUAUAUUAUGAAUGAACCACCAAUCACAGACGUUAUACAAGCGUUCUGGACACUUCUAAAGACCAUUUUUCUCACACAAAGGGGUCUCUCUGAGGCUGUUGUGUUAAUUCUUCGGAGCCGGGAUUCUAUUUUUCUUCUCUCAAAAUCGCACAAUAAUUCAUAAGAAAGUGGCUAGAGUUAUAGCCAUAUAUAUACUCUAGGGUUAGGUUUUAAGUUGGACCAUUAAAGGAGUAAACGAGCCAAGAUUCAAGUCAUCCAUAAAGGAAUAUAAUUGGGUCGGGUAUAGCUUAUGGACUUGGUUGUUGGAUUUAUUUCAUUCUUCGACAUAUGUCUAUGAAAUAAUAUUAGCACACGGUAACAUUAUAGCCCGAAAUUUAUUGGAUAUCAAAAACCCAACACUCUCCCACCAUGUUUCCUCUAUCUAUAUUCUUAAAAGCACUUCUCAAAAUACUAUUCCCAAUUGGCCAUUUCCCCAAAAUCCCCAAACCGUAUGGAUCAGUUUUCAAUCAUCAAAACGUCUACAAAUAAACAGCAUCAAAAUUAACACGGUGGAAUAAGUUGGGCUGUUACAGAGAGAGAGAGAGAGAGAGAGAAUUAAUUGUAUUAAAAACUGCUUUUGAAAUCAUUUGGUGUCACGGCUACCCGUAAACAAAACUAUUUUAAAUUAUUUGAAUUGGAUUUUGAUAUUUUAAAUGUAGUUUGAAAAAAAAAAUCAGAGAGAUAAAGUAAAGUAAAUACAAAAAUUAUAUAUAUUUUAAAAAUUGUUCGUUUUGAUUUUUUUUAUUUUAUUAUUAUUUUUUUAAAUGUUUUUUUGCUGCAUGGUGGGUUUAAUGAGAUGAAGAAAAUUUUGGAUGUCAAGGUUUUGUUUUAAAGAUGGAUUUUUCAUAUGAAUUUCUGAGAGUUCUUUGUUCAGUGUCAUGGGUAUAUAUAUCAGAAGUUUAAAUAAGAAGAAAAAGUUUAAAUUCUAUACUUUACCUCAAAAAAAAUUUUGAAUUGGGCAUAGUUUUACAGAAAAGUAGAAAUGUGAAUUAGGGUUUCACGUUACAGAAAUCUGGGUUUGAAUAAAAGUAUUAAGAGCCAAAUUUUGCAAGUUUUUCUUUUUUGUUUUGUUUGGCGUUAGUGUUAACACGAAUGUAAACUAAGAUCUUCUAGUUUUUUGUUUUGAUUGGCGUGAGUCUUUUGGUCUCUUGCUAUUGGGAUGGUUGAAGGUCAAGAGUAAACGGACACAAUAGUUCGCUCGAAUUUCUGAAUUCAUCACUGAAUUAAAGAUGGACACAUUUCCACAAUGUAGUCUCCAAGCACACGCUACAAUAUAUUUAAUUAAAGCCAGUUUUAAUGAAAUCUCCAAGCAGUGAUCUACAUUUUAUCUAAUUAAAGGAAGUUUAAUGUAGUCUCCAAACAGAGAUCUAUAAGUUUGUUAACUCAAGCAGCUUCAUAGAAAAGUUAUUUAUUCUCCUGCUGUUGUCGGAAUGCAUCAAGCUAUUAUGAUCUGAGGCUGUUGGAUCUGCCUCUGUGUGAUAUGCUUGCGGGGUUGCAUGAGAUGUUGAUACGUAGACUUGCUGAGGCUGUUGGAUUUGCUUCUGAAUUCUUUUUAUGGGUUCAACAUUUCAUCUCAGUUUAUUGGAUUAAUUGUGGGUCUGACUUUUGAGAGAAAAUGUUACAGUUCUCAUUCAAGAAUCCUAAUCUUCUUUAUGAUUUUCGGUUUCCUACUUGGUGUAAGAUGAUCAAGAACAAAGUGUU
rnacentral:lncRNA from 1 species